UACAGAGGUCUCAAGCGUUGUUCGGAUUCAUUGGGCGUAAAGGGUGCGUAGGUGGCGCGCUAAGUCGGGUGUGAAAUCUCGGAGCUUAACUCCGAAAUUGCAUUCGAUACUGGCGUGCUUGAGGACUGGAGAGGAGACUGGAAUUCAUGGUGUAGCAGUGAAAUGCGUAGAGAUCAUGAGGAAGACCAGUGGCGAAGGCGGGUCUCUGGACAGUUCCCGACACUGAGGCACGAAGGCCAGGGGAGCAAACGGG
rnacentral:rRNA from 1 species